UACAGAGGUCUCAAGCGUUGUUCGGAUUCAUUGGGCGUAAAGGGUGCGUAGGUGGCGUCGUAAGUGGGGUGUGAAAUCCCGGGGCUUAACCCCGGGACUGCAUUCCAUACUGCGGUGCUUGAGGACUGGAGAGGAGACUGGAAUUUACGGUGUAGCAGUGAAAUGCGUAGAGAUCGUAAGGAAGACCAGUGGCGAAGGCGGGUCUCUGGACAGUUCCUGACACUGAGGCACGAAGACCAGGGGAGCAAACGGG
rnacentral:rRNA from 1 species